AGACCACCAUCUGACGUCUAUGCUUACCUUCCGUGUAUUUCUUCCUCUUCCACGCUACUUAGAUGGGAAGAGGGAGAAGAGACCGAGAGAGGUGGUCUCGAAGAGGGAGUACGAGAAGGAAACUAUGCAUUUAAUCGGUGAUUUGGACCAAGCCGUAGCCAAGAUUCUUAUAUGGUCGUCUCCAUAGCCAUGAUUAAGAGUCGUCCGUAUUGCAGUGAAGGUAAGACCAAGCAAAGAUCAACAUAGUUAAGAAAGGAUAUGAUUGGAGUUGCAAGAAACCAGAACGGGACGAUCGUAACAAGAAUUGCACAGCGUGAAGAUUGAUAAGGCGAUUUUCUGCAUAGAAUGUGACUUUGUUUACCGUAAAGGUGGAUUACAUCAAGGAAUUGAAGUUUCAAAGUUUGUUCUUGCAACUUAAUAAAUGACCAUUAAAAGAGACUUAGAAGUAUAGAUGAGUUUCUUGUUACUGGAAACAUGAACUUGGUGAUCCUUCUUGUGACAAGAUUAGGGCUCAGCAGUAAAGAUGGUAGAUAAACACAAGGUUGCUGACAAUGAUGACAGUGCUCUGUCACUGGCUUCAAACUUCAAUUGUGGUCUUGCGACAAUCAGAAGAGUGAAGCGGUCUCGACGGAGCUAUGGACCACAGCAUCAAAUCAAGCCUUCAUAGGUGAUAAACUCUGCUCUGUCGUAGACUCUGAUUGUGGCAGGCACACAUGAGACUGGAUUGUUGAGGAUGGCUUAGUAGGGAUUGUUAGAGAUAAACAGACAAACGAUGAGUAGGCUAUUUUGCCAUUAGCUUCAAUGGAGCUAUCACCAGUGGUAGAUGGGCUUGGAUCUUGAGAAAAAAUGGCAAGAACUUGAUUCCAAACAAAUCCUAGAUUCAAGAAACUUGGACUUGCAAUAGUAGGGAGAUAAGAUGUGCUCUGUUUGGCAAUUUCACAGCAAGAAAAAAAAACAGCAUUGUCAAAUCAAGAAAAGAAUUGGACUGUGGCGGGGAAACAAGAACCAUCGGGCAUAGGUAUUAUUAGGCCCAAAAAUGACCUGCUCAUGAUACCAUAUAAAGAAAUGAGAAUAAAGACUAUGAAAUGCCAUUAAU